GUGUGCUUCUGGAGGUUUCUAGUGCUUCUCCAGCCAGCCUUUCUGAAACUCCCGUACCUGACGGCGCAGUCAUUGUCAGGAGGGAGCUAGCGGCAUUCAAGGGGUCUUGGCAGCUGCUUGGGGGAGGAAGCCAGGGAUCGGGAAAGGGCGGCCUGUGCUGAAAAAGGAGCGCCCGCCCAGGCAGUCCGGGAUUCAAAUUGGGAAGCUCCUGAGCGCCCCCAAAGUCCUGUGCGAUUGGGCGGAGUGGCGAAGGGAAGCGGGGCGCGGAGAUUGGUGCUCUGCGCUCAAGCUCUAGGCGUGGGGUUGGUCUGCGCUGGAGACCAAAGGGGAACUAGGAUUUGCCGCUGCGGUCCGGGACCAGGAGGUGCCAGCUUCGAACUGCACCUUCCAGCUUUCUUGAGGAAGGCUCUGAGGCUGUCUCAAAGGAUAGAUCCUAUCAGUGAUGGCGAACCUUUUAGAACUUUCAAUCAUGCAAACAGCCUGCUAAGACUUGCAUGCCACAGGUUUCACCACUGCCGCUUCCUUCCUGGUGCACAGUCCUGCUGCAAAUGGGAGGUGCUCAGUCCUUUCAUACAGCACUCUGGGUUGCAAAUUAGGGGUGAGGGUUGAGAAGAUGGGAAGGUCUGUCCAGCCUGGGGUUGACUUCAGUGAGGAUUGAAGGAUGGGAUAGGUCUUGAGUGUACUGUCUGAAUGAAACUCUCUCUACUGCAGUGGACAGUGACAGGUGUGUAAGCGAGAAUGCGUCACCAUUCACAUGGGCCAGCCAGGCUUUCAGGGCAGACGGGCAAAGCCUGCUGGGAGCUCUACUGCCUGGAGCACCAUAUCCAGCCUGAUGGCACCAUGAUCAGCAGUGAGACCGCGGGGAACAGCAAUGACUCCUUCAACGCCGCUGAUGAAACAAGGGCUGAGUUGUCUUUGUGGACCUGGAGUCUACAAUUAUGAACAGGGUAAGAACUAGCACUCAGGUACCGCCUCCACCCUGAGCAGCUGAUAUCUGGCUAGGAAGACACUGCCAACAACUACGGCCAUGGCCACUAUACCAAGGAUCAAUGAUUUGGUGGUGGAGCAAAUCCGAAAGUGGUGGGUAUCAAUUACCAGCCCCCCACAGUGGUACCUGGGGACCAAGAGGAGCUGGCUGCUCUGGAGAAAGAUUAUGAAGAACAGGAAUGGGCACAGACUGCAUGGAUGAUGAUGAUGAGAGCAGGGAGUACCAGGCAGUCUUGGCACCUCCAGUGUCUGACUGUUCACUAUCCAGCUCUGUAACACUACUUCCUGGUUUCUAUAACUCCCUGAAAUACACUUGAUAUCCAGUGGUGUGGAAUCUC